CCUACGGGUGACAGCAGUGGGGGAUAUUGCACAAUGGGGGAAACCCUGAUGCAGCGACGCCGCGUGUGGGAUGACGGUCCUCUGGAUUGUAAACCACUGUCCCCAGGGACGAAGAUGACGGUACCUGGGGAGGAAGCUCCGGCAAAAAACGUGCCAGCAGCCGCGGUAAUCCGUAGGGCGCGAGCGUUGUCCGGAAUUACUGGGUGUAAAGGGAGCGCAGGCGGUACUGCAAGUUGGGUGUCAAUUCUACCGGCUCAACCGGUAGCCGCACUCAAAACUGCAGUUCUUGAGUGUAGUAGAGGCAGGCGGAAUUCCUAGUGUAGCGGUGAAAUGCGUAGAUAUUAGGAGGAACACCAGUGGCGAAGGCGGCCUUCUGGGCUUUUACUGACGCUGAGGCUCGAAAGUGUGGGUAGCAAACAGGAUUAGAUACCCUGGUAGUC
rnacentral:rRNA from 1 species